rnacentral:rRNA from 1 species
UACGGAGGGUGCAAGCGUUAUCCGGAUUCACUGGGUUUAAAGGGUGCGUAGGUGGGCAGGUAAGUCAGUGGUGAAAUCUCCGGGCUUAACUCGGAAACUGCCAUUGAUACUAUCUGUCUUGAAUACCGUGGAGGUCAGCGGAAUAUGUCAUGUAGCGGUGAAAUGCUUAGAUAUGACAUAGAACACCAAUUGCGAAGGCAGCUGGCUACACGAAUAUUGACACUGAUGCACGAAAGCGUGGGGAUAAACAGG